ensembl:lncRNA
GAUUGAAAACGUCAGGAUAAGACCCGUUCUUCCAUACUCAAUCAUGCAAUCCUUUUCAUCUAGUUCUAACAUAACUCUAGUUGUAAAUGCCACAUCACAUUGAAUUGCAUGUUAAAUAUCUAUAAAUAACUUUGUUCACAGGAAUAUAUAUGUUAAAAAACAUACCAGGAAACAGCUUUAUGCUUAAUCAGGGGCAGAGACAUAAAAUGUCAGAAGGAAUGUAUCAUUAGUGAUUUUUAAAAGCUAUCUCAUUGGAAAGCAAGAUGUGAACAUUAAUAGGUAGCUGGACUUGACUGAAUCAUAAUUGUCACCCUGACACCAAGUUAUUUUCCUAUUUGUUAUGUGUUUCCUAUAAACUAUCCAUCAUUUUUUUUUGCAAGCUGUCCGACCUACGUUUUGCCCUAGUUUUUGUACAGCGUGGACCAAAUCAAGUUCCUGAUGUUUCUGGAUGCUCUAAGAGGGAAUCCUCAAAACACUUCCCAGUUCACUCACAUCUGGCCUUCCUGAUUAGUUUCAAACCUUCUUUGAAACCUGUAUUAAAUGAGAAACAAGUGUACAGUGUGACAGAAGUCUUCCAUAUGCAGUUAAUUUUAUUUAUAAUUUUGAAUUAUCUUUAAAUCAAUAUUAUACUUGUUUACAAUUUACUUAGAUAAAAAUAUCUGUAUUUCCUAUCUUAUUUGCAUCCAUUUUCUUCACAUCAUCACAUACUGUGUGUCCUUUUAUAAGACACUUGUAUACCCUCAGAUGUAAAAGAAAUAGAAAGUGGUAUCAAUGAUGGAACAGUUGGUUAUAAUAAUCAAUAUUUACAACUUUAAUUCCCUCUUCAUCACUAUUUCUCAUAUGUCUACAUUGGUAAAUGUGUAGACUCUGUAACAAUAUACCAGGUUGGCCUAUCCCACCUAUGUACGUCUGUAUAUUAACUCGAUGCCAGAUAAAUCCAGAUGCAUCUUUAUGCCCUCAGACACAACAACAUUCUGAGGUGGUUGUUAGAGAUUGAGAGAAAGAGCUGUUUUCAUCCUCUUUAAAUCAGGCGCCUGACAUGUCCUCCUGGUCUGUUGAUGGGAUAAUAGGACAGUCUCCCGGAGAGGUGAAAAAAGGUCUUUGGUCACAUUACUCUAAGGAAAUACUUAGGGUUAUAAAUGCCUAGGUUUAAAGAAAAUUGACAGCUUUUUUUUCCAGCAGGUCAGGCAGAUUUUUUUCUGAAAACUCACAACAGUAUACUAACGCUUUCAGGAAUAAUUGUGACACAUAGCUAAAUCUCACAAACCUGUACAAAUUUAUACAUUACGCCAUAAUCAAGAUUAUGGAGCUAGUUAUGAUUAAUGAAACAUUCAUUUUUAUGAAUACCUACAGUGUUAGUAUUUUUUCUCAGUAAAUCUAUUCCAUUUCACGCUACCUGAGGAUUUGACCCUGAAAGGGAUCAGAUGUGUUAUAUCUUUUCUCUUAACUUCAUUCAAAGUGAUUCAGUGCAGCAAUUUAAUAGUAAGACCACUAACUUGUUUGGAGGUUAGCGAAAAGAUGAACGUAAAAACAUUUAUGAAAUAUAACAAGCAUCUACAGAGUCCCUCAUGCUGUGUCACUCUUAUAUUUUGCUUAAUUCAUAUUCUUCCACAGGUGAUGAACAAUAAUGAGAAAAGCUAAGAUAUGCAAGGGUAAAUUUGUGUGGUAUUCUAAGGACUACGGAAUACCAACAUUUUCAAUAAUCAAACUCAUAUGUUUAACAUAUUUGUGCAUCUUAAAAGCCUGUUGAAUUUAUGCAGGUUUUACAAGAUCUUUUAAAAGCAAAACUGUAAAAUAUAUUGAUUUAUACCUCAGUUUGAUAUUGUAAUUAUCCUAAUCCAUGUUUUAUGCAUUAACUUACCCAUUCCAUAAGUCUUCUAAUAUAGUGUUUUUGCCCACACAAUCAUUCCUUAUAAAACAAAAAUGUAUAAACAUCAAUAUUGUAUGAAUUUAUGUGAAGUGUAUGUUUGUAUAUAGCAAUAUAAACAAAGACAUAGAUGUGUAGCUAUAUCUACAUAUGUACUGGUCCUGAAAAACCUACAGUCUCAUACUAAGGCUUCUUCAUUAUCACAAUGGAAUGUUAUAUUUCCAUUUUUAUGAGGAAUCACCAUCAAGACAAGUUAUACUUAUCCUAUGAAGCAUAAAACUUCUUAAGGUGUGCAAAUUUGGAAUUAACCGCCAUCCUAUUUUCUCUGAGGUGACACAAACUUCUAGAGUUCUCAGGCUCUGACACUGUGACACUUCAUGUUACUGUGGUUGGAACUCAGCAGUAACAACUCCAAUCAGUACAUGGGUUUUUUCCAUCCUAAACUUCUACAUGGAAACAGUGGAUAACAGUCUUAGUUCUUUUAAGGGAUGACUAGAAGGUGCUUUGUCUCUGAAAUAA